rnacentral:sRNA from 2 species
AUGUACCGCUCGUACACUCCGGGCCUGAGCACGCCGCCCGCAUCAGCUGACGACCGCUGGCUACAUUUUGUCAGAC